UGUCCGAUGCCAUGUUGCCGGUAGCUACAAAGUGUUGUGACCGGCGAUGCUAUGAUCAGAUUGAGAGUGAGUUCUCUGUUUCGUAUUUUGAUAGGAAUCUGUGGAUCUCUCUCAUCUCCUGAUCCUUCGGAGCCGAUUUAUGCGAUUACAUUC